GGAGGGGGCGAGCGUUGUUCGGAUUUACUGGGCGUAAAGGGCGUCUAGGUGGGCUCAUAAGUUGGACGUGAAAGCCCUCGGCUCAACCGAGGAAUUGCGUUCAAAACUGUGAGUCUUGAGUGUAAGAGAGGAAAGCGGAAUUCCCAGUGUAGCGGUGAAAUGCGUAGAUAUUGGGAGGAACACCGGUGGCGAAGGCGGCUUUCUGGCUUAACACUGACACUAAAGCGCGAAGGCUAGGGGAGCGAACAGGAUUAGAUACCCUGGUAGUCCUAGCAGUAAACGAUGUGUACCAGGUGUGGGGAGUAUCGACUCUCUCCGUGCCCAAACCUAACGGAUUAAGUACACCGCCUGGGGAGUACGAUCGCAAGAUUG
rnacentral:rRNA from 1 species